rnacentral:piRNA from 1 species
UGGAUAUUUUGAUCAACGGGA